rnacentral:rRNA from 1 species
UUGCUCCCUGAUGUUACGGCGGACGGGUGAGUACACGUGGGUAACCUGCCUGUAAGACUGGGAUAACUCCGGGAAACCGGGGCUAAUACCGGAUGCUUGUUUGAACCGCAUGGUUCAAACAUAAAAGGUGGCUUCGGCUACCACUUACAGAUGGACCCGCGGCGCAUUAGCUAGUUGGUGAGGUAAUGGCUCACCAAGGCAACGAUGCGUAGCCGACCUGAGAGGGUGAUCGGCCACACUGGGACUGAGACACGGCCCAGACUCCUACGGGAGGCAGCAGUAGGGAAUCUUCCGCAAUGGACGAAAGUCUGACGGAGCAACGCCGCGUGAGUGAUGAAGGUUUUCGGAUCGUAAAGCUCUGUUGUUAGGGAAGAACAAGUACCGUUCGAAUAGGGCGGUACCUUGACGGUACCUAACCAGAAAGCCACGGCUAACUACGUGCCAGCAGCCGCGGUAAUACGUAAGUGGCAAGCGUUU